UAUACAGGAUGAAGAGGCUCCAGGUUGUG
rnacentral:piRNA from 1 species